UGUGUGUGUGUGUGUGUGUGUGUGUCGUGCUGUAACUUUAUAAGUAUUUACAUUCAUUCAAGUUCAACAUGAAUUUUCUUGACGCAGGUUCCCUUGACUUGACUUGGCGCUAGCAACCUGAUUACUGAGUCUAUUCCAUCGUGUGUGUGUACAGUGAUAUCAAGACACGAUGAUCCAUCGCCACCACCAUCACCAUCAUCCCCAUCCGCUCACCUCCAUCAUCACCUACUGGUCUCUAUCACCACCUAUUACCAAUGAUAUUCCACGUUUAAA